rnacentral:ncRNA from 1 species
AGGAGUUUGAUAAAUGUCUGAGUCAGUGGGCGAGUAAACCCAUAAGGCAUAAGGAAGAUGAUUGGUGGGAUCCCUUUGAGGUGUGCACCACAAACCGACCUUGAAAUUCUGAGAAGGGUUCGAGUGUGAGUAUACCUAUUAGGACCCAAAAAAAGGUUAACUAUGCCUGAGUGGGGCGAAGCUAGAGGAAACUCUGGUGGAGGCCCGCAGUGAUACUGAUGUGUAAAUUGUUCGUCUGAAUUGGUUUUAGGGUCAAAAGACUAAUCGAACCGUCUAGUAGCUGGUUCCUCCAAAGUUUCCCUCAGGAUAACUAGAGCUCGUGUGCAAGUUCUAUCGGGUAAAGCCAAUGAUUAGAGGCCUCGGGGGUGCAACAUCCUUGACCUAUUCUCAAACUUUAAAUAGGUAGAACGGUGCAAUUUCUUUGUUGAGUCGUGCGACAUAAUUAAAAUCUCCAAGUGAGCUAUUUUUGGUAAGCAGAACUGGCGAUGCGGGAUGAACCAGAAGCCAGGUUACGCUGCCAAUCUAUGAGCUAACCUAGUGAUGUUCCGAAUUUUAAUGGAACAUUAUGUAUUUUUUUCUUGGGAAAAUUGCAUGCUUUUAAGCAACCAAGGUUGCAUUUAAUGCUGGAUUUUAGUGUUUCAGGGUAAGGAGCUAGCUAAAGGAGAAAACU